rfam:Felis catus isolate Cinnamon breed Abyssinian chromosome B2, whole genome shotgun sequence.
GCCUGGGUAGCUCAGUUGGUUAAGCAUCUGACUUCUGCUCAGGUCAUGAUCUCACAGUCCGUGAGUUCGAGCCCCGCAUCAGGCU